rfam:Blautia sp. An46 An46_contig_1, whole genome shotgun sequence.
AUAAUGAGACUUCCGGAGACAAGCUGCUCCGGUCCGAGAGGAUGGUGUGAUACCAAUGA